CCUACGGGAGGCAGCAGUGAGGAAUAUUGGUCAAUGGGCGAGAGCCUGAACCAGCCAAGUCGCGUGAGGGAGUACUGCCCUAUGGGUUGUAAACCUCUUUUGUCGGGGAGCAAAAGCCGGACGUUUCCGGCUGUGAGAGUACCCGAAGAAAAAGCAUCGGCUAACUCGGGGCCAGCAGCCGCGGUAAUACGGAGGAUGCGAGCGUUAUCCGGAUUUAUUGGGUUUAAGGGGUGCGCAGGCGGAUUUUUAAGUCAGCGGUAAAAUCGUGGGGCUCAACCCCAUCCAGCCGUUGAAACUGGGGAUCUAGAGUGUGCGAGAGGUAUGCGGAAUGCGUGGUGUAGCGGUGAAAUGCAUAGAUAUCACGCAGAACCCCGAUUGCGAAGGCAGCAUACCGGUGUACAACUGACGCUCAGGCACGAAAGCGUGGGUAUCGAACAGGAUUAGAUACCCGGGUAGUC
rnacentral:rRNA from 1 species